AGAGUUUGAUCAUGGCUCAGAUUGAACGCUGGCGGCAGGCCUAACACAUGCAAGUCGAGCGGUAGCACAGAGAGCUUGCUCUCGGGUGACGAGCGGCGGACGGGUGAGUAAUGUCUGGGAAACUGCCUGAUGGAGGGGGAUAACUACUGGAAACGGUAGCUAAUACCGCAUAACGUCGCAAGACCAAAGUGGGGGACCUUCGGGCCUCAUGCCAUCAGAUGUGCCCAGAUGGGAUUAGCUAGUAGGUGGGGUAACGGCUCACCUAGGCGACGAUCCCUAGCUGGUCUGAGAGGAUGACCAGCCACACUGGAACUGAGACACGGUCCAGACUCCUACGGGAGGCAGCAGUGGGGAAUAUUGCACAAUGGGCGCAAGCCUGAUGCAGCCAUGCCGCGUGUGUGAAGAAGGCCUUCGGGUUGUAAAGCACUUUCAGCGGGGAGGAAGGCGGUGAGGUUAAUAACCUCAUCGAUUGACGUUACCCGCAGAAGAAGCACCGGCUAACUCCGUGCCAGCAGCCGCGGUAAUACGGAGGGUGCAAGCGUUAAUCGGAAUUACUGGGCGUAAAGCGCACGCAGGCGGUCUGUCAAGUCGGAUGUGAAAUCCCCGGGCUCAACCUGGGAACUGCAUUCGAAACUGGCAGGCUAGAGUCUUGUAGAGGGGGGUAGAAUUCCAGGUGUAGCGGUGAAAUGCGUAGAGAUCUGGAGGAAUACCGGUGGCGAAGGCGGCCCCCUGGACAAAGACUGACGCUCAGGUGCGAAAGCGUGGGGAGCAAACAGGAUUAGAUACCCUGGUAGUCCACGCCGUAAACGAUGUCGAUUUGGAGGUUGUGCCCUUGAGGCGUGGCUUCCGGAGCUAACGCGUUAAAUCGACCGCCUGGGGAGUACGGCCGCAAGGUUAAAACUCAAAUGAAUUGACGGGGGCCCGCACAAGCGGUGGAGCAUGUGGUUUAAUUCGAUGCAACGCGAAGAACCUUACCUGGUCUUGACAUCCACAGAACUUAGCAGAGAUGCUUUGGUGCCUUCGGGAACUGUGAGACAGGUGCUGCAUGGCUGUCGUCAGCUCGUGUUGUGAAAUGUUGGGUUAAGUCCCGCAACGAGCGCAACCCUUAUCCUUUGUUGCCAGCGGUCCGGCCGGGAACUCAAAGGAGACUGCCAGUGAUAAACUGGAGGAAGGUGGGGAUGACGUCAAGUCAUCAUGGCCCUUACGACCAGGGCUACACACGUGCUACAAUGGCAUAUACAAAGAGCUGGUGCGGGCAGCUUCGAUGGCGGCGCGGGCGGCGGAGACCUGGGCUUUCGCCGAUUCCAGCGCCGCGCGGGCGCUCUCUGCGGCCGCGCGAUCGUCAUCCAGCUGCUGGGCGGAGACGGCGCCACGCUGGGAGAGGGUGUUGGAGCGAACAUGGCGUUUCGCCGUGGAAUCCAGCUCCGCCUGGCGCUGCU
rnacentral:rRNA from 1 species